AGUGAACGCUGGCGGUAGGCCUAACACAUGCAAGUCGAACGGCAGCACAGUAAGAGCUUGCUCUUACGGGUGGCGAGUGGCGGACGGGUGAGGAAUACAUCGGAAUCUACUUUUUCGUGGGGGAUAACGUAGGGAAACUUACGCUAAUACCGCAUACGACCUACGGGUGAAAGCAGGGGAUCUUCGGACCUUGCGCGAUUGAAUGAGCCGAUGUCGGAUUAGCUAGUUGGCGGGGUAAAGGCCCACCAAGUCGACGAUCCGUAGCUGGUCUGAGAGGAUGAUAGGCCACACUGGAACUGAGACGCGGUCCAGACUCCUACGGGAGGCAGCAGUGGGGAAUAUUGGACAAUGGGCGCAAGCCUGAUCCAGCCAUACCGCGUGGGUGAAGAAGGCCUUCGGGUUGUAAAGCCCUUUUGUUGGGAAAGAAAAGCAGCAGGUUAAUACCCCGCUGUUCUGACGGUACCCAAAGAAUAAGCACCGGCUAACUUCGUG
rnacentral:rRNA from 1 species